rnacentral:SRP_RNA from 1 species
GAGCGGACCCGGGAUGGGACGGCAAUCCCCGCCGUCCGUCGGGGCAAACCCCCGAUCCGCAUGGGGUUAGCGGCAUCCGAAACCCUCUCUGUUGGUGUACACACCCCCUAGUACCGCCAUCUAGCGGCGAUGAACCCCAGCCCCCUGGGGCUACCGCAGGCGGCGGGCCGUCCGUAGGGACGGACCUAGCCGCUUAAACACCCGAACCGGGUUAGGCCCGGGAGGGAGCAGCCCUAAGGGUGGGCGGUAGCGUUCAGGGGUGUACUGGGGUGAGACCGCUAGGUGGUAUGGGCUAGGGGGUGUGUACACCAACAGAGAGGGGUUGGGGUCCGCUC